UACGUAGGGUGCAAGCGUUGUCCGGAAUUAUUGGGCGUAAAGAGCUCGUAGGCGGUUUGUCGCGUCUGCUGUGAAAACUCGGGGCUUAACCCCGGGCCGGCAGUGGGUACGGGCAGACUAGAGUGCGGUAGGGGAGACUGGAAUUCCUGGUGUAGCGGUGAAAUGCGCAGAUAUCAGGAGGAACACCGGUGGCGAAGGCGGGUCUCUGGGCCGUAACUGACGCUGAGGAGCGAAAGCGUGGGGAGCGAACAGG
rnacentral:rRNA from 1 species